UUUCAGUUAUUUCCAUGCUUCAGAACAGAGAUAUUAUUGUUGGGUAAAAGAUAGCAGUUUGGUUCGGCUUAGUAUACGUCUAUGGUCAUAUGUAAGAGAAGCAGCAUCCUGUGGAAGGGUAACUUCUCAAAUUCAUCAUACCAGCUUACGUAAUUUGUAAAUACAUGUAUAAACGGUGCAACCAUGAUCAUAAUGUAUAAACAAAGAGAGUAUAUAUUAGCAGUCGUGAAUUGUGUUGUGGUUUUAUUCCUAUUAGAAGGUUUUAUGAGUUUUUCUUUCAUUGUUGCAGUGAAGAAUGCAACAAAGAUGUACCCAUUGCAUUGAUUAGCACUUUGCCUAUGUUAUCUCUUUUCACUUGCAAUUAAUCCUAUGGGCCAAAUUUCAUAUUCUUGGAAUCUUGGUGGAUUUGGGGCUGUGAGAACUGGGUUAAUGGUGGUUUGUGUUUGUUUGUGAAGUGAAACAAAGAAACCAGCAGCAAAGUAAUUUUCUACUACUUUUAGUGUUACUGUUAUUUUAUGAUUGUCCUUGUCGUUACCUCUUUAACAGUUGACUGCAUUCUUGAUAUUGUAUGUAAACAAGGAGAAAUCAACAGAGCCAAAGGCUAAAAGGGAAAAGAAACCCAAGAACCCAAAUGCUCCAAAGCGCCCUCCUACUGCUUUUUUUGUAUUCAUGUAGUCCCUCAUUUUGUGUUCAAGAAAUUGUCAGUAGUUUGACAUGACAAAAAACAGUAUUCAUGUAGUCCCUCAUUUUGUGUUUAAGAAAUUGCCAGUAGUUUGACAUGACAAAAAAUAUGCAGAGAUGAGUUUAGGCAGACAUUCAAGGCUGCUAAUCCUGACUGCAAGAGUGUCUCCACGGUAGUGCUGAAUUCAGUUGUUCCUGAUAACAAUCUCCUCUUGCCCCUUUAUCCCUUUAGUUUUAUCUAAUAGCCACAAAGUUGCUACUUCUCCAUCCUUGUUCUGUAGCCUUAUAAUAGUGUUCACUUCUAGGAUGACUCAUAAUGUUAA